rnacentral:lncRNA from 1 species
UUUUGAGAGGUCCCCGUUCGAACCUCUGACCCUUUGAGGGAUUUUACUUCUUGAGUGCAUGGCGAAUAAUGUGGUGGAAUCAGGUUCUAAAUAACCUUGAUGAGUAAAGUUAGAGCUGUUUGCUGAGCAGAUGUCUGAUCCUAUUCCUCCUCACAAUGUUUAGUCUCUUGCUGAAAGGUUUGAAAUGAUUUGGCUGGAGAGCUGCAGCGCCACAUGCAUACGAUAUCAGAUGAUGUCACCAUGGAGCGCCUGUGAAGUGGCAUUUGAGGUGAACUUUGAUCUUCGAGUCUUAAAACCUUAUUGUAAGUCGCUUUGGACAAAAGCGUCAGCUAAAUGACUGUAAUGUAAUGUUUCGAUGACUUUUUUGUACAUGCAUAAGGAAAAAACCUAAACUUAAGGUUAAUACAGGCCUACAGAAAAAUUAUAAUUAACACUCCAUAUCUGGCAGGGCAAGUUGGGUAGUUUAGACAAGAAGAGAAAAAUGACCCCAACAUAAUUUAGCAUUGUAAGACCCAGUCAAAGACGGAUAUGGCCCCCAGCGCUCCCUUGUAAUUUGUGUCAAGCUCAAACCGGAGCACGGUGUGAGAGCAAGGGGAGAGUCCGUGGGCCGGGACCGGUGGCCUGUCAAGAUUAGGUAAUGGGCCUAAUGUCCCAUGUAGUGCUAAUCCUGCCUCCCAGAUGGAUGAUGAUGAGGAUAAAGUCCCUCGGAGCUCUACCCAGAAAGACAGCUCCUUGUGGAGAGAUAAACAGAGGGAACCGUCCAACUGAGGUCGCAGAUAAAUGCCAAGGCGGUGUGCCAGCAGGCCUCCACUGUGGGGUGGAUGCUGGUUCAGGCUCCAAUCUCAGUGAGAACUUAUCUUAAAAUGCAUCAACUUAGCUCUGUGUUCAUCAUGCUGUAAUCACUUGAGUUAUUAAGUGCUUCAUUAAAAAAACUUAGCAUGGCAAAAAAUACACAAACUGUACUGUAAUUAAAUGUUCCCUUUUUUCCCCCCACAUCAAUGGUAAUGCUACUGCUUGUAUUCAAUGUCAUUCAUUAUUGUUCAUUCC